GACGAACGCUGGCGGCGUGCUUAACACAUGCAAGUCGAGCGGUAAGGCCCUUCGGGUACGACGAGCGGCGAACGGGUGAGUAACACGUGGGUGACCUGCCUCUAGCUCUGGGAUAAGCCUGGGAAACUGGGUCUAAUACCGGAUAUGACUCCACGGCGCAUGUUGUGGGGUGGAAAGCCUUGUGUGGCUAGAGAUGGGCCCGCGGCCUAUCAGCUUGUUGGGUGGGGNGAUGGCCUACCAAGGCGACGACGGGUAGCCGGCCUGAGAGGGCGACCGGCCACAC
rnacentral:rRNA from 1 species